rnacentral:rRNA from 1 species
GAUGAACGCUGGCGGCGUGCCUAAUACAUGCAAGUCGAGCGAACAGACGAGGAGCUUGCUCCUCUGACGUUAGCGGCGGACGGGUGAGUAACACGUGGAUAACCUACCUAUAAGACUGGGAUAACUUCGGGAAACCGGAGCUAAUACCGGAUAAUAUAUUGAACCGCAUGGUUCAAUAGUGAAAGACGGUUUUGCUGUCACUUAUAGAUGGAUCCGCGCCGCAUUAGCUAGUUGGUAAGGUAACGGCUUACCAAGGCAACGAUGCGUAGCCGACCUGAGAGGGUGAGCGGCCACACUGGAACUGAGACACGGUCCAGACUCCUACGAGAGGCAGCAGUAGGGAAUCUUCCGCAAUGAGCGAAAGCCUGACGGAGCAGCGCCGCGUGAGAGAUGAAGGUCUUCGGAUCGUAGGACUCUGUUAUUAGGGAAGAACAAAUGUGUAAGUAACUAUGCACGUCUUGACGGUACCUAAUCAGAAAGCCACGGCUAACUACGUG